CCUACGGGAGGCUGCAGUGAGGAAUAUUGGUCAAUGGACGAGAGUCUGAACCAGCCAAGUAGCGUGAAGGAUGACUGCCCUAUGGGUUGUAAACUUCUUUUAUAUGGGAAUAAAAUGUUCCACGUGUGGGAUUUUGUAUGUACCAUAUGAAUAAGGAUCGGCUAACUCCGUGCCAGCAGCCGCGGUAAUACGGAGGAUCCGAGCGUUAUCCGGAUUUAUUGGGUUUAAAGGGAGCGUAGGUGGGUGGUUAAGUCAGUUGUGAAAGUUUGCGGCUCAACCGUAAAAUUGCAGUUGAUACUGGCAGUCUUGAGUACAGUAGAGGUGGGCGGAAUUCGUGGUGAAGCGGUGAAAUGCUUAGAUAUCACGAAGAACUCCGAUUGCGAAGGCAGUUCACUGGACUGCAACUGACACUGAGGCUCGAAAGUGUGGGUAUCAAACAGGAUUAGAUACCCCAGUAGUC
rnacentral:rRNA from 1 species